rnacentral:rRNA from 1 species
ACCUGACGGAGCAAUACCGCGUGAAGGAAGAAGGCCCGUGGGUCGUAAACUUCUUUUCUCAGAGAAGAAGAUCUGACGGUAUCUGAGGAAUAAGCGCCGGCUAAGUCUGUGCCAGCAGCCGCGGUAAUACAGACGGCGCAAGCGUUAUCCGGAAUGAUUGGGCGUAAAGCGUCUGUAGGUGGUUCGCGAAGUCUACUGUCAAAUCCCAGGGCUCAACCUUGGACAGGACAGUGGAGAACUCGCGGACUAGAGUACGGUAGGGGUAGAGGGAAUUCCCGGUGAAGCAGUGAAAUGCACAGGGAUCGGGAAGAACACCAGUGGCGAAGGCGCUCUACUAGGCCGUGACUGACACUGAGAGACGAUAGCUAGGGGAGCGAAUAGGAUUAGAUACCCUAGUAGUCCUAGCCGUAAACGAUGGAUACUAAGUGCUGUCAAAAACAGUGCUGUAGCUAACGCGUUAAGUAUCCCGCCUGGGGAGUAUGCUCGCAAGAGUG